CGCGGCCUAUCAGCUUGUUGGUGGGGUGAUGGCCUACCAAGGCGACGACGGGUAGCCGGCCUGAGAGGGCGACCGGCCACACUGGGACUGAGACACGGCCCAGACUCCUACGGGAGGCAGCAGUGGGGAAUAUUGCACAAUGGGCGCAAGCCUGAUGCAGCGACGCCGCGUGAGGGAUGACGGCCUUCGGGUUGUAAACCUCUUUCAGCAGGGAAGAAGCGCGAGUGACGGUACCUGCAGAAGAAGCACCGGCUAACUACGUGCCAGCAGCCGCGGUAAUACGUAGGGUGCGAGCGUUGUCCGGAAUUAUUGGGCGUAAAGAGCUCGUAGGCGGCCUGUCGCGUCGGAUGUGAAAGCCCGGGGCUUAACCCCGGGUCUGCAUUCGAUACGGGCAGGCUAGAGUUCGGCAGGGGAGAUUGGAAUUCCUGGUGUAGCGGUGAAAUGCGCAGAUAUCAGGAGGAACACCGGUGGCGAAGGCGGAUCUCUGGGCCGAUACUGACGCUGAGGAGCGAAAGCGUGGGGAGCGAACAGGAUUAGAUACCCUGGUAGUCCACGCCGUAAACGUUGGGCACUAGGUGUGGGCGGCAUUCCACGUCGUCCGUGCCGCAGCUAACGCAUUAAGUGCCCCGCCUGGGGAGUACGGA
rnacentral:rRNA from 1 species